GCCCAGGUGGUGGAAUUGGUAUACACGCAAGACUUAAAAUCUUGUCUCAGCAAUGGGAUGCGGGUUCGAUUCCCGCCCUGGGCACCA
rnacentral:tRNA from 1 species